rnacentral:rRNA from 1 species
UACGGAGGGUGCGAGCGUUAAUCGGAAUUACUGGGCGUAAAGCGCACGUAGGCGGUCAGGCAAGUCGGGUGUGAAAGCCCUGGGCUCAACCUGGGAAUUGCAUUCGAAACUAUCUGACUCGAGUAUGGGAGAGGGAAGCGGAAUUUCCGGUGUAGCGGUGAAAUGCGUAGAUAUCGGAAGGAACACCAGUGGCGAAGGCGGCUUCCUGGACUAAUACUGACGCUGAGGCGCGAAAGCCAGGGGAGCAAACGGG